rnacentral:rRNA from 1 species
UUAAAUUGAAGAGUUUGAUCAUGGCUCAGAUUGAACGCUGGCGGCAGGCCUAACACAUGCAAGUCGAACGGUAACAGGAAGCAGCUUGCUGCUUCGCUGACGAGUGGCGGACGGGUGAGUAAUGUCUGGGAAACUGCCUGAUGGAGGGGGAUAACUACUGGAAACGGUAGCUAAUACCGCAUAACGUCGCAAGACCAAAGAGGGGGACCUUCGGGCCUCUUGCCAUCGGAUGUGCCCAGAUGGGAUUAGCUUGUUGGUGGGGUAACGGCUCACCAAGGCGACGAUCCCUAGCUGGUCUGAGAGGAUGACCAGCCACACUGGAACUGAGACACGGUCCAGACUCCUACGGGAGGCAGCAGUGGGGAAUAUUGCACAAUGGGCGCAAGCCUGAUGCAGCCAUGCCGCGUGUAUGAAGAAGGCCUUCGGGUUGUAAAGUACUUUCAGCGGGGAGGAAGGGAG